CUGGACCAAGUCCGAUAGAGCCGUCGAAUCGGCAGGUCGUAGUGUCGAGAUGACGUUGGCAAAGCCCAGUGCGAGCCGCGAAAAACUCUCUGCAGCUUCGGCGUGAAAAUUCAAAAGUCGGCGCGUAGGGUCGGUGGUGUGUCGAGUGGGGGCUCGUCCCGUCUGCGCGCGUAGUCGGUACGUGCUCUCUCUCUCUCCCUCUCUCUCUCUCGCUUUCGCUGCGCGAGAGACUCUUCUUUAGCGAGAGUGCUCGGGAGCAGCGAGGAGAAGGACAGCAGCUCGACUGCUCUGGCCGCUCGUCGAGUCCUUUCUCGUCGCACGAGCACGAGAGACACGCACGCACGCACACACGCACGCACGCAGUGCUAGAACUGGUGCUGGUGCUGGUACGGUAAUCGUGAAUGCUGCCGCAAGAGUGAGCCGCGCAGCCGAACACGACAGAAGAAGGAAGACCCCGCGAGCCCGUGGACAGCCAACGCCUCGCGAGAUAUAUCAGCGGACGCACGGAGCGACGAAUCAAACGAGCAAACGAGCGAGGGAGCGAACGAGACAAGGAAGAAGAGUCGAGGAAGAGUAUCGAUCGAGAGUGAGCGAGAGAGAGAGAGAGAGAGAGAGAGAGAGAGAGAGAGAGAGAGAGAGCGGUGGCGGCGGAACGAGAGCGACGAGUGCUGUACGCGAUGUGCUAGACCGAGUGCGGAGUGUAAGUUAACGGAGUCGAGGAGACGGCGGAGAGUGGCGAGGAUGAAGCCUAAACUGGCCGGGAGCUACUACUGGUGCAGCUGGCAGUUGGUGCACGAGGAGGUGGCCGGAUGACUCGCCAAGGCGGCCUAAGGCUGCCUGCACUACUAGUCGGCGUCCUCUCAACGUCGCGUUGGCUUCACCGUUAUCGUCGUCGUCAUCCUCGUCCUCGAGCUCGCAGCUAACGAGAUGGAGGACAUGCCCGACCUCUCGCACCUCACGCCCGAGGAGCGGCGCCACAUCGAGAGCGUCAUCAUGAGGCAACGCCAGGAGGACGAGUAUCAAAACGAGAUCAUGAGGCGAAAGCAAAACGAGGUGCAGGUGUUGGAGGACACGAUAUCGCGGGCGCGCAACGAGCGCCUGCAGUCGGCGGGCCGUGUGGACCUGGACGCCACCUGCGAGAUCUGCCUCAAGACCAAGUUCGCCGACGGGGUCGGACACAUAUGCAACUACUGCAGCGUACGUUGCUGCGCCCGCUGCGGUGGCAAGGUCUCGCUCAGAUCCAACAAGGUGAUAUGGGUGUGCAUAUUAUGCCGGAAGAAGCAAGAGUUGCUGUCGAAGUCAGGCCAGUGGAUGAUGAAGUCGAGUCUGAGUGGCGCGGACGGGAACAUGCUGCGCCGCAUGCAAGAGGACAUGCAGGGCAUGUCGCUGCCGCAGGGCCUGCUGCAGGUGGAUCCGAGUCAGGAUAAGCGGCCCAAGCUCGAGCGCGCCCACAGCGCCGUGGAGAAGGAGAACCUGCCGCUGCUGCAGCGCAGCAGCAGCCUCCUGCGCCGCCAGUACUCACACCAGGAGCAGAUACAGGGCCGCCGAUUCUCGACCAGCGACAGCGGCGUCGAGAUGUCAGUGUCGCCGCACUCGCGCACCCUGCCCACUCCCCACGUGGCGGCUUACCAGGCGCAGCAGCCGCCCAGGCACCCGGCAGCCUAUCCCGAGGACGACCCCAACCUCUACCGCGGCGAGCUCGACGGUCUCAUGCGUCAGAACUCGCCGUAUCAGCAGCAGCGCCAGCGCCCGAUGUAUCAGGAGCAGAGCCUGGACAUGGGCAUGGGAUACGGCCACCCGCCAGCGCCGCCGCCGCAGAUGCGCACCCAGCUCCAGCAGCACCUGCAGCACCCGCAGCACCCGAUGGCGCCGUCGUCGCAUAGCCUGCACCCGGGCCACGCCCACCAGCACAGCCAGCAGCGCAGCUUCAGCAGCAGCGAGGAGGAGCGCAGCACGCCCGAGUGCGCCAGCGAUGAGCCCAACGACCAUCAUCGCGAGCAUGGAAAGGGGUACUACCAGCACGGUUCACAAAUUUACAAGCAGCACGGUCAUGAUCCGGGCACGAUGAUCGAAUAUAACGGCCACCUAACGGAUAGUAACUCUGCCAGGAAAAGUUUUCGUCGUAGCGGAGAAGCCGAUAGUAGGAGGGUCACGGAGCGAAGGGGGAAAAAGACGGUGCGCUUUCAUGGCGGUACCAAUGACUCGACUGAGGAGUGGUCGUGGGAAGCGGACCGGCAGGGUAGCCAGGACAGCGCGACCAAAGACUCUGGCAUCGAGACCUCAAGCACCUUCACUAGCAGCGAGGACAGCAACAGAGGCGACCUCCCCAAGCACCCAUCGCCCUGGCAGGUGAGCAACGAUGGUACGAAGCUUAUCGGCAAAAUGGUCCUGCGCAAAUCAUCACAAGGUACACUGAGCAGCAGCAGCAUACUCGGCCUCAAGGUUAUUGGUGGUAAACUACUCGAAGAUGGCACCAUGGGUGCACUUAUUGAGAAAGUGAAAAAGGGCAGUCCGGCCGACGUCGAGGGACAACUUAGGACUGGCGACGAGGUGCUGCAGUGGAACGGACACUCGCUGCAGGGCAAGAGCUUCCAGGACGUGAGCGACAUAAUCGCGAUGUCGCGCUCAGAGCCGCAGGUUGAGCUUGUCGUCGCGCGCCAUCUUAAUGCCGCAAAUGCACCCCCUAAGUCGAUGACCGGUCCUACCCAACCAUCACCCGGUAGCCCGGCACUCACCCCUAUGACAUCUAGACGCUUCAACGCUCAAGCGCAGUGGCGCCAAAAGCACGAUGCUACUUUACCCAGCCUACCAUACCAUAAAGAACUGUACGAUGCACGGGGCACAAAGCCAUCGGUGCUAGUGACAUCACCAGGAUCGUCGGACCUGUACAGCAAAGGUCGCGCGUGCAGUCGCCAGUUCCGUCAUCCAGCAACGGGUAGCACGAACAGUGUGGGUGGUAGACUCCAGCUGAAGCUGAGCUUCGAUGCGUCGAGUCAUCAACUCGUGGUGACGCUCGUGUGUGCUUCUGGCCUGAUACCCCGGCCCAAUGGCCAGUCUAGAAGUUCCUAUGCCAAAAUGUAUUUGCUUCCUGAUAAAAGCGAAAAUUCGAAGAGACGAACGAAGACACUGGCCAACACGAACGAUCCACGAUGGGACCAAACUUUUGUGUAUGGCGGUGUAAGAUGGUCCGAUUUGAGACAACGUUCGCUUGAGAUCACAAUCUGGGAUUACGGGCGUUACGGUACCAACGACUUCCUUGGCGAGGUACUUGUCAAUUUGACUGCCUUGUCGUUGAAUGACGAACCCGAGUGGCACUAUCUCAUGGCCCAUGAGGAGCAUCGCCAAGCUGGAUACUACCAGGAUCCGUCGGACGAUGUGACGACGCCGGGCGAUUGCCAUCUCAGCCCGCCGUCUACCACCUCGAGACUGAGCGAUUCCGAUACCUCGGAGUGCGACAUUACCGACUGCGACGGCUCGAGAGAGCAUCGCAGAACUGCUGACGGCGCGAGUAUUAGUAGUAUCGGUAGCUCCUCCAGGUUUCAUAAUAUGCCGCCAAAUUAUAAGCGCCACUAUUCCAGCCCGCCGCCGGAGAAGGAGCUAUGCGUCGACGGUGAGCAUCGGAGCCGCAGGGAUAUGUCGCCACAAGGGCGCAAACGCGCCGCUCUUAUGGGCUUGCGCGAACAACCGGCCUCCAUUUCCGGAUACCAACAUUACCGAAAGGUCAAUUUCCGAUAUUAUUCCGAGGAACCACACAGAGGUGCAAUGCUGAGCCACAGAUCCCACAGCGCUGCACCGAUGGACUCACCAAUGCUACAUUACCGUGGCCGGUCGCAAAGUCCCACGGGUCAUCGUUCGCUGUCGCCCCCGGAUCAUCGGGGUAUGCCCUACUCGCCCGGCUACAUAUCCGCGAGAUUCGCAUCGAGAUCCGCAACGGCGACGCCAACGGGUUCGCCAAAAAAGCGUCAGCUGCCGCAGAUACCAGCCACCCUGAAUGCUACUCUCAAAGAACGAGUGGCUCAGGACUUCGAGGAAAGGGCAAGGUAUCUGAGGCAUCGGCAUCGGCCGUUGCAUAGUAUCUACAGGGGUAGUAUAGGGGCGUAUCGCUCAGAAGGUUGGGAUAGGAGGUACAGUGGACUAUCGGACUCGGAUCUGCCGUCGAUGGGUCACGAGCCGCACUCGCUGUCGCACAGCCACAUCCAUCGGAUGCACAGGUCGCGCCGCGGCCACAUCAGCCCGGAGAAAGACGUGCUCGCCGACUUUGGUGACUCCGACAUGGAAAGCAUUGCUUCGGUAACGAGUAGCGCCUUUAGCACGCAGUCCGAGAGGCCAAGGGGCUUCCGAUCGAUGAUACCGACAGUUAAAAACGUUUAUAUACCCGGUGUCGUAUCCCCGAUGCCCCCGCCCCCUAGGCGCUCUAGGCGCAAGCACCGAGUACUUAGGGUACCCUGCAGUGAAUGCCAUUGCCCGAGUAACUUGCCCUGUAAGCCUAGGAGCAGUAAUCACCCCACGUACAACAGCAAGCACAACCACCACCACAAUCACCAUCUUCUUCCCUCGCACCACAAUCCCCUCGUACGGAGCAAGUCCGCAGUCGUGCGCUCGCUUUGCAAGAGGAUGCGCGCCCCCUUCACGCGCUCCCACACCGUCGACGAGAGCGUGCUGCGCUACUACAGCCCCGACACCGACGAGUACACCGUCACCGACGCCUACCUCCUCAAGCCCGAGACCAUGCCAGCGACGUCGGUCGGCGGCGGCAGCGGCAAACGCUCGUCACGCUCCCGCUCUCGUAUCCCCGAAAUCUACGUGGAAGACUGCCUGAGCGUCCGCUUCAACAAGCGGCUGAUCGACAAGUUCCGCGCCAAGAAUCGCCGCUACCAAGACAUCAGACUGGCCUCCUCCGGCUCGUCGCCGCCCUACGAGAACGCUGGCGCUGCGAGUCCGAGCGGCGGCGCGACCUUGCGCGGCGUGCGGCGCCCACACAGAAGGUCGCGCAGCUGGCACGAGCGCGGCAUUGCGGCGGCGUCCGCCCUUCCGGACACGGGCAGAGCCGCCUUGGCCGCCAGCGUACCCACUUCGAGCAGCGCCAGCCUGAUCAGACGGAGGAGCCCGUGGCUCAGCAUCUGGUCCACUGCCACCACCCCUCGCCACUCCGACUGCUACUACCCCACCACCCGACAAUCGAGCAUGCGUAGAUCCCUUCUAUCCUCCAAGGCGCGCAGCUUCGACUAUGACGACUACAUGACGCCGACGACAAGCAGCACUGAGACCGCCACCCCGCGACGCUCGCGCAACGGCCUACUCGGCCUGUCGGGCCGAAGUCGCAGCUUUGAGUGCGACAACGUGUUUGCCAACAUCUUCAGCGACGACAGCCUGCAAACCGCACGACAGAAGAUCAAGAAGAGCAUGGACCUCAGCGAUGACGGCUACGGCGACAAGGUGCCGGCGCUCGGGGACCAGAGCAAGUCCUACUACGAUUCCAACGGCGACGCCAAGUUUACCAGGCAGGCGAAGAAACUCAAGUCUCGGCAGGCUGAUCUCAAGUCGCUGAUGCUCGACGAGGACAAUGACUUCGACAUCUACCACCAGGACCAGCAGGUCCAGAGGCUCAUGUAUGGCUACGAUUCGGAGCUGAGCUGUGGCGAGACAGAAAUCUACCUGCCCAGAGAGUUGGAUCCCCGCAUAGAUGACGCCGGCGGCAGCAAACGCAAGUACCGCUACUCGCCAGAGAGACGGCCCAGGUCGGCCAUCGGUGUGGACAACGAGGCCUACGACCCCGACGUCAACGAGCACAUUUACUGCAGCAUCGACGAGGUCAAUCAACAAGCCUACCGCAACGAGAUAGCCGAGCUGUCCAGGUGGCGCAGGUCGUCUCUGGACAGGACGGGCGAGCAGCCAUACGCCAACGUGAGGAGCCGCGCGGGCCAUCGAAGACGCACCAAGAGCAACGAUUCCUACCUCAAUUACCAAGAGCACGCGCUCUACGACAACUGGAACGCCGUGGACGAGGGCUACUACGACGAUAGCUAUUACGACUACGUGCAACGAAAGUACGACGACGACUACAAUAGACAAUCAAUUAGAUACGCCGGCGGGGACGAGUAUCCCAACAUAGAACGCUCGUCGUCGUCGCUGCGACACGCCAGGGCUAUCGGUCGCGAGGCGCAGAUCGCCACCGAGCCCCACUACGAAAAUGUGCCUUACUUCAGGCCUGAAAGCAGGCAUCAAGCGACGAUGCUGCCGAGGGCGGAGUCCACGCCGAUCCUCUACUCCGAUGAAGAGCUGCGCUUCGACAGGGACUACGUCGGUGCAAAAGGCAGCCGCCGAAGGAACACCAGUUGCCCGGAGAGUAGAGACGUAGAUCGUUAUUACGAGGAACAACGAAGCCGCUACUAUGACGACAUCGAGGAACGCACCAGGAAUGUGCUACAGUCCGACGAGGAGACCGGCUCCCUCGAAACGGUCGUCGAGCGGAACAGUCGGCACGUCAGUCGCAUAGACGAAUCUAGAUUCUACUAUGACUACGAGCCCUAUUAUCAUACGCACAAUCGGCAAGAGCCUGAGGAUGUUUACCAGUAUCGCCACCGCAGUCGAAGAAAAACGACGUGUCCCGCGUGUCAAGAAGAAGAACAAGAAGAGAUAAUGCAAAUGGAGCGCCGAGCCUGGAGAUACCACCAAGACGACCAGUUAGAUCAGCUAGGGCGACAGUCACGCAACAGUAACUGUUCAGAAGCUCGCGCGCUCGAUGGGCCGGUCCUUCGAACUAGUCCUUCGAGUCGGCAACAGUCGCAACAGCAGCCACAGCAGCAACCGGCGCAGAAGAGGAACGUGGCUAUCAGCGAUACCCUCGAGUACUACGAGUACUCGAUGGAGAGCGAGAGCCAGUGCAGCGAGAACUGCGGAUUUGGCCCGUGCGACCCACGUAGGCCCUAUGAGCGAGCUCCCCGCCCCGGUAAUGCUAAUUCACAUCUGUUUGAUUCCCAAACCGCUUCCACCACUACCGCCACCACUACCACCACCUCCGACCACACUGCUAAACCCUCGCGGACCGUCACUUACGACGACCAUCAUUACAAUCACUACCACCAUCACUACCGCCACGACCACCACGACCGCCGCGAUAAUCCGCCACCGGCCGCCCACCACGUGCAACUACGCGAUGGCGACUACGACAAUGUUGUUGUCGACGGCCGCCUACGGCGCCGCCAAUCGCGCUCAAUAAUGGACGACGCUGCGGAUCGUCCGCUGACGCCGCGACAACAACACGACUACAACGACGACCCUUCCAAUAAUCGACGCUCGUCCUCUAUGCCCGAACGCAGUGACUACCAGAGCCACAGCAGUUCGUAUGAGAAGCCGAGCAGAUAUACCGAUGAUACGGAUCGGCCGUCGCGCGAAAGCGCUGCCGCUAAAAGGGGCCAGUUCGCUAGGAGCUUCAGUAAUGCUGACGCGCCUACAGAUGAGAAAGCAGACGGUAGUCUAAGCGAUACGGCAGUAGGUCUGCACGUCGAAGAGAGCGAACGUAGAGCCCGAAAAAGCUCGCCAAGCAGUAAAAGUGGCAGCGGCAGUAGCAGUGGCGGUGGUAGCGCCGUACAAUACCAAUCGGGCAUGGGAAAAAAGAGCAACAGUACAAGCCAGCUCUCCGCCAUAGAAAGCGGCAUGAUGACGGCCAGCGGCAUAAUGAGUUUAAGCGGGAGCGCGACCAUGGGUCGCAAGCGCAACAGCACCCCAAGCAGCAUUCAACGAUCCCAAGAAGUGAUGCCGAGCUAUCAGCAACACCUGACAGUGACUCCGAGCCCGAUUCGCGGACAGCAUCAACCGUCGGGCAGUGGAGCCAGCGACACAGCCGGCAGUCUCAACUCGAUCUCGAGCUCCGAGGGCAGCUCUUGGUCGCCGAGUCUGCGCAUGGCGGGCGAAGGCGGUCAGCUAAACGAGUUCAUCGAGGGCCUCGGGCCCGGCCAGCUGGUGGGUAGGCAAGCCCUUGGAUCCCGGGCGCUCGGCGACAUCCAACUGUCGAUGAAAAGCGACAAAGGAUUCCUGGAGGUGGAGGUGGUCAGAGCUCGUGAUCUUACGCCGCGACCAGGCUCAAAAAUUAUACCAGCUCCUUACGUAAAAGUGUACUUAGUGAAUGGUAAGAGAUGCAUAGCAAAGCAAAAGACAAUGACGGCGAGGAAAACACUGGAACCGCUGUAUCAGCAUAAAUUAUUAUUUCGAGAAAACUUCCAAGGAUGCAUACUGCAGGUGACAGUGUGGGGCGACUACGGGCGUAUAGAGGGCAAAAAAGUGUUCAUGGGCGUAGCCCAGAUCAUGCUGGACAAUCUCAAUCUGAGUAAAAUAGUGGAGGGCUGGUACAAGCUAUUCGGCAGCACGUCCCUGGUCAGUGGGGCACCUUCUCUAGGCUUGUCACGUCGAUCUUCCGCGGCCUCCCUCGAGUCUUUCAGAUAUAUUAAUGAGCUUCAACGCGACUCUAUCGCCCACAGUCGUGCAAGCUUAUUUUAAGGCGAUUACGUAUUCGCACUAAAUCGCUCUUCUUCUGCCUUUUUGCCUCUUUAUUCGAUCUGAGCUCGUUGGGAGGUACGCGAUGUCGAUCGAAAAUUUAAUCAAAACAAUAAACAUUCGAAUAAAUUGUAAGAUUAAGAGAGAAAAAAGCUUCACGAGUACAGUAAGCACGAGAGCAACAAUGUUUAGUGAGAGAACGAACAAAAAAAGAAACUAAAUAGUUUUGAAAACAAAACAGAGAAAAGAGAUCUGUUUAACACCUCUAGCACAUCACACCUGUUUAUCAUGAAGCUACUAGUCUAUCUGUCUUGACUGUAGCCGUAGAGGUAGAGCGGCGAUGAUCAUGUUCCUGCCAGACUGCCAGAUAGUUUGAUUAGUGAGACGAAGGUAAAGACCCAACGGACAAGCGGCGGCGGCAUCAAUUCUUCGUCUACGUGAACUUUUACGUGACGUUCUUAACGAAAGUGUACCGGUGAUAUAGAACAAAUGAAGGCUCAAAACUGCAGACAAUUGUUUUUUUUUCAGUGCAUUUUUUCACUACACGAAAAAAAAAACACGACGAAACGACAUCGACGAAGACAAUGAAUCUUCGAACGAGCUAUUUCUCUACCUUGUACAACAACAAUAAAAUAAUAAUACACAUAUAGUCUGUACUAAGCUAGGAAAAAGAAAUUGUGUCGAGAAUAAAUUUAGUGAAAUUAUAUAUGCGGAUAAGAUAUAAGGAAAACGAAAUUACGUAAUAAACAAAAAAAUUGCUACAAACUUUGUGUAGAUACGUACACACAGACAAAUCGAGACGCUACAAUAUUUGUAUAUAAGGAUGGAUUUGAAAGAAAUUUCGGUGGAAGAGAAAAAAAAUUGACACGCCGUGCGAGAAUUUCGUGCGCAAAAUGCAAGGUUGACGAAGAAUCGUCGAAUCAAACGUAAAGUUUUAUAUUAACAUAAGAAGAAGGGAUAACGAAACAGAUCAUUAAUAUUGUUUGAGUACGUGACCGAGCCGCGUGUACGCUGAGCAUUCUCCGUUUUUGUUUCCGCGGGCAUAGAUGCAUUAUAAAGCAAACUAAACGAUAAGGAUAAUCUCAACUGUAAAUAGCGUUUUGCGAGUUUGACAGAUGUGUGUGAAUGAUUGCUUAAGCUGCCAGAUAAAAGAUUUAAUUAUUGCCCCAUCAAUUCGACGAUAUGUGAGGUUUUUUACUUUUCACUUCAUUUUAGCUUGGAAGUAACAUACGUAAACUUUUUUCAUAUAACAAAAAAACCAGCAACAACAAAAAUACACGCGUAUAAUAUAAUCGAGUCUGUGAUUUCGUUAUUACUGACAGGGAUAAAACAAGUUCUUGAUAAUAGCGUUUGUACGUUUGAUUUUAUUAAGAAUUUGCAUAGAUAUUAAUGUGCAUUACUUUCGCUGAUUAACUAGAGACUGGAAAAAAAUGAUUUUUCGUUCAGUUUUACGGGUUUAUCAUUCAAGCUGUCCUUUCAAUCUUUAAGCAUUAGUUUGAAAAUAAAGAUAUUUUGAUGACUUUUACUUUUCACGAGGCUUGACUCAUACAAAUAAAUUGAACUUGUGAAUAAAUUUGAAUUUGUGGUAUGAUUUUGCGAAGAAUAAAAAUGAGCUCGAAACGAAACGCGCACUGCAUAUCAGAGAAAAGUCGGUCUUAAGAUGGGGGGAAAACCAUUCAUUUUAUCGAAAAGAAGAACAAAGAUUCACGAGUAAAGGAGCAUUAUUACUUGAGAUUUAAGGAUAAAACAAUAUAUGCCUUCCGCUGAUGUAGUUUCGUGUAAAUUUACAGUGAGGAUGUGAUGUGAAGCAUAAGAACAUUUAACAAUACUUAACAAACUAAAAAAAAAUCACAUGUACGUUGUAAACAAGGGAACGUUGAAUACUGUUAUAUACACAUUAUAUACCAUGUGAAUUACUUGAUUUUUUACUAUGCGCGAUAAGAAGGCAUAUUGUAUACCGUUCAUUUUCAUUGUCCAUAUAUAAAAGGUAACAAGAGCAAAAAAAUUUAUUUCGACGCAGUGUUAUAUAUAACUAUGUUAAGUUGUGUAGCUCGGGUGAGAAAUUCUGUUUGUUUUUCAGUAAAAUUUUUUGCAACAAAUGAUGCCGUUGUAUUUAUACGUGAAUCUGUAACGUAAAUCAAGAAAACGAUAAAAACCCAAGAGUCGGUGCUGAAAAACAAAAAUUAUUUCUUAGUGACA